UGGGGAAUUUUGGACAAUGGGCGCAAGCCUGAUCCAGCCAUGCCGCGUGCGGGAAGAAGGCCUUCGGGUUGUAAACCGCUUUUGUCAGGGAAGGAAAUCUUCUGAGUUAAUACCUCGGGAGGAUGACGGUACCUGAAGAAUAAGCACCGGCUAACUACGUGCCAGCAGCCGCGGUAAUACGGUAGGGUGCAAGCGUUAAUCGGAAUUACUGGGCGUAAAGCGUGCGCAGGCGGUUUUGUAAGACAGAGGUGAAAAUCCCCGGGCUCAACCUGGGAACUGCCUUUGUCGACUGCAAGGCUUGAGUGCGGCAGAGGGGGGAAUGGAAUUCCGCGUGUAGCAGUGAAAUGCGUAGAUAUGCGGAGGAAACACCGAUGG
rnacentral:rRNA from 1 species